rnacentral:rRNA from 1 species
UACAGAGGGGGGCAAGCGUUGUUCGGAAUUACUGGGCGUAAAGGGUUUGUAGGUGGCUUGCUAAGUCAGACGUGAAAUCCCUCAGCUUAACUGGGGAACUGCGUCUGAUACUGGCGAGCUUGAGUGCAGGAGAGGAACGCGGAAUUCCAGGUGUAGCGGUGAAAUGCGUAGAUAUCUGGAGGAACACCGGUGGCGAAGGCGGCGUUCUGGACUGUAACUGACACUGAGAAACGAAAGCCAGGGUAGCAAACGGG